GUCCUUUUCAAAGUGACGGAUGGCUUCCUUCGAUGUAUGCUCUCUUCGCCGCCUCUGCCCGCCGCCGCCCUCGGUCUUCUUCUCCGGCCGUCCGCCGCCGCCAGCCGGUCUUCUUCUCCAGCCAUCCGCCAUCCGUCCUCCUUCCCCUCCACAUCUGCCCCUAAUCUUCUUCGGCGCCACCCACAGCCUCAUCAAUCUCCAACCUCUUGUUCCCGUGCUUCUCUGAUUUGGAUCGAGAUGGGAGUCCUGGAUCGAGUUAGGGUCUGUGUUCUUCUCCAACACAAAGCCAUGGAGUGACCGACCCGGAUUUGACUUGGCUAUCAUAAGAAGGAAGGGUCCUCGACCGGAAUCUGCCCCAGGCAGGACCUCAAUGGCGACCUGCAGGCCCGGCCUCUGUCUCUUUCGACUCCCUCUUUUUGCGACCUCAAGAAGCUGCGGCGGCUCAUCCUCGAGGCCAAGCUCGUGCAAUUCCGACGACUCCAGGCCCAAUUUGUUUCCUGCUCUAUCGGGUCCAAGUGACGCGCCAAGGGGAUUUGCACCAGCUUUCAGGAUUGUUCAGUUUCAUGCUAAGAAAAAAAAUAGGUCUGAGGGGAACCACUUCUUUGGCGUGUUGUUCCAGUAGUUCAUGAUGAUGGGCCAGGAGUGAACUAAACUCGUCCGACAGUGUUCUACGGUUCGCCGCAACUUCGUAGGCCGGUUUUCCACUUGAUGUAUGUAGACAAGGAGGAUUGAAAUCAUGGUAUUUGGUUCUCUGCAAUCUACAGUAAUAUGUCUUUGGCCUUAUUUUCCUACUGCUGGUUGUGAUUGUGGUACAUAACACUCUGAUGUUGAAAGGGUGGAUCAGGUCAUGGAGUAGCUAUGCCCCCAUCGAGUAGCUUAUGCAUCCUAUAUUUAGCUUUUCAAGAUUAUUAGAUGUUUUAUGUCAAGAUGAAUACAUGGAUAGUCCACUAUUUGCAGUAUUGUUAUAAUUGCUCCCUGUUUCCGAUAAAAUGAUUUCUUUUGUUCAUUAGUGUUACAAUAUUAUAAUGCAAUGGUUGUUAUAAUAUGGGGAACUGGUUAAUUAUAAGAGACUGUCACAUAUGAGGAUGAAAGCGUGGAUCAGCUCCUGUAGUAGUUAUCUUUGAUUUACGACCGAGUUUACUUAUGGUUAUAGGAUGGAACUUUGUAUUAUUUUGCCAUCUUCUUUCCUUUUUGAAAAUAGCUACAGCAACUGGCAGUUUAAGUUGGUGCGAGCAAGUAAAUAACGCAAUUUUCUUAAUAACUUUUGCCGCGCAUAUUGUAACUGUAAGCCGCAAUUCAGGUUCAAGGUAACUCUCUAUGUAAUUCCAGAGCAGAGGUUUAUAAGGCAACUCUCUAUGAAACAGAUGUUUUGUGAACGAGCAGAUUUGAUGUUCGAUUUGCAUAAACAUGGGAAAUUCGUAGUUAUUUACUAUUCCAAUUUUAAGCUAAUAUGGUAUUUGAUUCAUGCACAGGGCUGAAGGUUUUACUCGAAGUCGUGUUAUAUUAGAGUUAGUGCCUAAAAAAAUGUCAGUGUAUCUCCUGGAGGAGGAGGUGGGAGAGAUGUAGCAGGUAGAAGAUGGACCGUGGAUAAGAAAGAGGAAGGGAUAAAGUGUCAAUCAGCAAUGAAAACUUUAGUAUUUGUGAUGUAAAUUUGAAUGCUAAAGUUUGAAUUUUUUCCUUGGUCUUAAUUUCUUUCUUUCAAAUGCAAGUGGAUUAAUCUGCAUAAAAUUUAAUACUAUGUUGUAUUCAGCUUUAUUUAGAUUUACCUUCCACUCAUAGGUUGGAGUCUAGAGUUUAUGCAUACCGUUGCAUGAGUAUUGUUGCAUCAUGGUCAAUUCUCUUGGACAGAUAGCUGAGGCCAUUGCAUAAUUUCAGAGGUACUUAUAAAUAUAAAAUGGCUUUCUUUAGCAAAAAUUCCAAAGUUAUGAUGUUUAUUUUGAUAACCUCGACAAUGUCAAGUACAUAGAAUUGGAAUGGAGCCGAGCAACCCUGGUUCAUUGUAAGUGAUGUUUGCUUCACAUCGAAUCAUUGAAGGAGUAUGAUGCUGCUUUGGAAGGAGGCUUUUCUCAAUCUGUGCUACUUUCGGGGCGAGGCUGGGCCACGUCCACACUAUUGUCGCUCGCCUGCCUGGGCCUGGGACGUGUUAUUGAAGCCUUCACCAUGCUACAGAGGACAGUCCUGAAGCUCAGUGUUAGAAGACAAGUUGGCUUCGUAUAUUGGUGAAAUCUCAACCCAUGUUCUUCAGUUGGCUUCAUAUAUUGGAUGUUGACGCUUCGCUUGCUUCUGAUAAGAAUGCUUGGAAAGAGCUGUGAUGAAAAAUGGAAAACUUCUGUAGUUUUACAAGACAAGUAAGCGCCUAUGACUUGCAGUCAUCUCCUUUCCUAUCCAGCACAACGCAAGUGCGCAUGACAGCUAGCACAGCAAACACCCACCAAGCAAGCACACGUACGCAGCAGUAGCAUGUAGCAAGCUAUCACACACGCGCCCGACACAACAGCCGACUCGGCAAAAGCACCCUGCUGGACUGGACGACCACGGCGUGCGUGGGCUGAGGCCUCGCCGAAGGAGCGGCGCUUGCGGUGUCUGCAUGUUCGGCCUUGCUGCACUCCAGAAUAGUCACAUCACGGCGCGCUGCAGUAGGGCAACGAUUCUGUAAGAGGUAAAUAGGGGUUUGGGGCGCUAUUGUCCAAGAUUGUGCUAUCAAGGAUUGUGGAUCUUAACUAAUUAGACUAUUCAUUUGUAAUCUUAAUCUAUAAAAAGAAAGUAAGGUUGUAUUGUAUUUAGCACUCUUGUGAUAAGAAUGCUUUUUUGUUGUUGUUCUUAUUAAAACAUUGGCGUGCAGCAGCCAUAGAUAAUGUGAUUACUAUAUGCUUUAGUUCAAAA